rnacentral:rRNA from 1 species
UACGUAGGGUGCAAGCGUUGUCCGGAAUUAUUGGGCGUAAAGGGCUCGUAGGCGGUCCGUCACGUCGGGAGUGAAAACUUAGGGCUUAACCCCAAGCCUGCUUCCGAUACGGGCGGACUAGAGGUAGGCAGGGGAGAACGGAAUUCCUGGUGUAGCGGUGAAAUGCGCAGAUAUCAGGAGGAACACCGGUGGCGAAGGCAGCUGCCUGGCCCAGAACUGACGCUGAGGUGCGAAAGCGUGGGGAGCGAACGGG